rnacentral:rRNA from 2 species
AAUCCGGGUUGCGGACAGUGUCUGGUGGGUAGUUUGACUGGGGCGGUCUCCUCCUAAAGAGUAACGGAGGAGCACGAAGGUUGGCUAAUCCUGGUCGGACAUCAGGAGGUUAGUGCAAUGGCAUAAGCCAGCUUGACUGCGAGCGUGACGGCGCGAGCAGGUGCGAAAGCAGGUCAUAGUGAUCCGGUGGUUCUGAAUGGAAGGGCCAUCGCUCAACGGAUAAAAGGUACUCCGGGGAUAACAGGCUGAUACCGCCCAAGAGUUCAUAUCGACGGCGGUGUUUGGCACCUCGAUGUCGGCUCAUCACAUCCUGGGGCUGAAGUAGGUCCCAAGGGUAUGGCUGUUCGCCAUUUAAAGUGGUACGCGAGCUGGGUUUAGAACGUCGUGAGACAGUUCGGUCCCUAUCUGCCGUGGGCGCUGGAGAACUGAGGGGGGCUGCUCCUAGUACGAGAGGACCGGAGUGGACGCAUCACUGGUGUUCGGGUUGUCAUGCCAAUGGCACUGCCCGGUAGCUAAAUGCGGAAGAGAUAAGUGCUGAAAGCAUCUAAGCACGAAACUUGCCCCGA